GCUCCGGUGGCCUAGUGGUAAGAGCCUCCGCCUCGGAUGCGGGAGGUUGUGGCUUCGAAUCCCGACCGAGUCA